rnacentral:misc_RNA from 1 species
UUAAGUUCAGCGGGUAUCCCUACCUGAUCCGAGGUCAACCAUAGAAAAUUGGGGGUUAAUGGCAAGCAUCCACCGGGACUCUAUAGCGAGAAGAAUUACUACGCUUAGAGCCAGAUGGCACCGCCACUGAUUUUAAGGGCUGCCCGUGCGGCAGGCCCCAACACCAAGCUGAGCUUGAGGGGUUAUAAUGACGCUCGAAC